GUUCUCAGUGGGUUUCACUGACUGCACAGAUCGCACAAGAUUUCUGUUCGACACCUCUGACAAACGUUUUGUAGUAAAGACAGACGGUGUACUGAUGGUAAAGAGACCAGUUUUUCUUCAUGAAGGACACCAUGAGUUCUUCAUCCACUCCUGGGACUCACAAGGCCGCAAACUGACCAUUCCUGUCAGUGUGAGCAUGAAUGCAGCUGAUGCUCAGGUGCCUGUUCUGCAGUUUCCCGAGCCUGG